GUAAAAUGGUAUUAAUGUUUUCCUUUAUAAAAAAUUACCAUAGUGCAUGUCUAUUGCCAGACUGCGCAUGUCUUCUAUAUUCCUAUCAGGAAUUUACUUAGUUUGCUUUAUGUAUUUUGUAGGUUUAGGGAAUAAAAUAGUGAACAAGACAAAGAUUCUACCCUCAAAGGGCUUUGCCACUAUCCUGGGAUGGUGACGAGGAUAGAAGGAACAAAUGAUGGUUUGGAACCUGGUUCCAAAGGGAGAUUUCUGUGACACCGACAGUGAAAUUCGAUCAGAAAGCCAUUCUUGCCAACACUGAGUACAUAAAGGCUUGAUCCUGUUAUUUCGUCUUGCCCUUACAUGCAAUGAAAGUGAGCUGGAGCUGGACCUCAAUAGCAGAGCACUUGCCUAGCAUCUGUGAGGUCCUGGGUUCUAUCCCCAGCACUGCAAAAUAAAUAAAAAUAAAUAAACAAAAGGUAGUGAUUGCAGGCACUACAAGGAGUUGUUUGUUGACUCUCUUCCUGUCUCCCUUCUCAUCUCCCUUUUUUCCUUGGUCUCAUUCUCAGUUUUCAGAGUGCAGUCACUAUUUUGUAAUCCUUCCCUAAAAUGUAGUCAGGUGAUUCGAGGACAGCAGUAUAGAGGACAGCCAACCAACGCGGUUCUGAUGAGGAUCCCGUGGAUAGCAGAGUGUAUGCCCAGUGGGGCUGUCAGAUCUCACUACGUUUGCGCUGGUUGAAUAACUGUGGCUUGCCAACUCGCUCUCCCUCUUCAAACCUCCAUUUUCUCAUUAUUAUUAGAAGAUGAGAUAGCAUGAUUUUAUUUUCUGAGUUCCCUUCCAGUGCUACAAUUCAGUGAUUCAUAUGUUCCUGAAAACUUGUAUGUGCUUUUUUUCAAUAAAUGGAAAUACAUUUUCCAGUGAGCUUGGAAAUAUAUUUUGCAAUUAUCCUCUCCCCUGGUUUUUAACUCACCAUCAGUUUGUGGGAGCACCUAAUACUCGGUGCUGUAAGUUCUCCCAGAGGUUAAUUACCUGUGAAGAAUGGGGAACUAUGGGAGGAGAGGUGUAAAAACUGCAGGAGAACUUUGAGGUUAAUCUCUUUGGUAGUGUGCAUACGUAUCUCACAUGAUCUCCAGUUUCCACCUGGAGGCAGAUUAACAUUGGGCCAGAUAGACUAGAGAAAGACAAGCUACUAGCACAAUCCAGUACUCAGAAUCCUAAAUCAACUCAUCAUGAUUGGCUUCUUCCUCCUAUAGUUUACCCAAUCAGAGCAUAGACAGUACUUUAAGGAAAAACCAAACCAAACCAACUGGAUUCUUCAGUAUUCCCGUAGGAAUCUCGAAUAGUUCCAUUUUCAUUUGUUUUAGCUCCUUCUUCUUAAAGUGGGUAAAAACUCCAGAUAAAGAAAUAAAUGAGAAAUUUGUCAAAAAAUUUUAAUUGCCAACAAAAGCCAUCUUCAGUAGACCAAAGGAAACAAAGUUUCAGUUAGGAGGAAUAACUUUUUCAGAUCUGUUGCACAGGAUGAGGAUGAUGAUGAUGAUGAUGAUGAUGAUGAUGAUGAUUAACCAUGAUUUAUAGGGCUGGGGAUUUAGCUCAGUGGUUUCACCACCUGCUGUGCAAGCACAAGGACCCGAGUUUGAUCCCCAGUACAAAAAAACAACAAAAAACCAUUGUUUAUAAUAAUGUAUUUCAAAUUUUUCCAAGAGAAUAGAUUUUAAGCAUUCUCAACUACAAAGAGUAAGUAUGUGAGGUCAUGGAUAAGUUAAUUAGCUUGCUAUAGUCAGAAUAUAUACGUAGAUCGAGACAUCUCCUUCUACCCCAUUAAGAUCACAGUUGUUAUUUGUCAAUUAAAAAUUUAAAUUUAAAAACCACAUUCUUUUCCAUUUGUAAUAGAACAGCCCUAGGCCCCAAAUUUGCUUUCUGUAUGAGUCAAGCUGAUUCAAAGAUUGCAGUCCCAAAACAGUGCCUGCCUGACUCAUGACUCUGACCUGAAGAGUAAGCAUUGUCUUGUUCUAGGAUGGACUAGACAGGAAAUUCCAACUGCAUAUGGAAGAGAUAGUGUAUCUAAACACACACACUUACACACACAACAUGCAUACAUAUAAAACAUAUGCAAGACACACAUAAAUGCAGUAUGCACAUGCAAUGUAUACACCACAUAUUACAUAUACUGUACACAAACACAUCCAAUGCACACAUGUACACAAUACACACCUGGUGCACACAUGCAACUUACAUGUGUAUAUACAUACAAUGCACACACAAUGUAUACAUACAAAACAUACACAAGACACAAUAUACACACAAUGAACAUGUAUACAAUAUACACACCAUAUAUACUAUAUAUAAAACAACUCAAUACACACAUAAACAAUACAUACAUAGAUAUCCAAUACAUGUGCACUUAUAGACACACAAAUUUAUCUCCUGUUGUACCUGUUUCCCUACUUUCUUUCAUUGAAAGCUUGGAAAAAUGGGUGAGAUGUCUAACCAUCUUUUUGUGGUUCUCAGGGAUAUCAUAAGUGAGAAUCUGAAGAUACAAAUCUUGAUUUUUGUGAAGGAGUUUAUUGGUAGUUUUGAAAUGGCAUUAGUUUAUAGGUAGCCCCACUUAAAAAAAAAACAGGAAGAAAGCAAAAUGAAUGUCAUCCUAAAGAUUUUGUGGAAAGUGGGUGCAGAAAGAAGUCCCUAUGUUCUCUGUUGCCCUUAGCGUUUUGGUUUGCAGCAUUAUGUUGAGCUGGGCUGGCUGCAUUCCACUGACAAGAUGUUGCAGUUUGUGAAAAAUCACCCAACCUGAGUGUAAAUUGGUGUUCACCUACCCAUUCAGAAUUUAGUCAGUGGUCUGUGGAGAAGGACCAAGUUAGGAUUGCAGGUGCCACUGAGUUAGAGACCCUCCAUUAGUGAAACCUUGCACUGUUUGAUCCAGCUGGUUUUCUAGUGCCGAUUUGCCUCUGGAGUUGAGCCUAGGACCUUCUCUAUUUCUUCUUUCUGUGACCUCAGAGCUAUUCCAAGAGUUAUUACUUUAUUCAGUUAUACCCUGAAGUCAUAGGGAGAAAUGGACCCUAAGACAGGCAUUGCAUUUGCCCAUUUGUUUAACCAGAAGGUUUUGUAAGGAAAGUCUCCAGAUGAUACAUUUCAUACUCAUAGAAAUUCAACAAUAUUGUUUUCACCGACCACCUGCUACCUGCUUAGUUUUUACUUUCAGUGGCCACUCUGAUACAGUGUACACAAAUCCCUGAAGCUGGGAAGUGGACUAAAGAGCUGAUGUUAAUAGGAAGCUCUCAACUUUCAACUAUACAGGAAGUCUGUGACACAUAAUCCACAGAAGAUCCCUGGAUGACCUGUUUUCUUGAGAAUGUUCCAUACCUGUACAUGGGAGAGAAACACGAUGGUAUUAAAGGUGGCCAUGUGACAGUGGCCAUUUCCCAGGAUCUGAUUCCAGAACAUCUGUUCUGUCGUCUGAGACAGGCUUUCAGUCAGUCAUCUGCCUGUUUGGUCUACACGGUGCAGAUUGAAAGGAUUUUUAUUAAUGACACCGAGCAACAAAGGAAGAAGGGUAAUGGGACCAUGGACUGUACCUGGCUGAUGGGCUUUUUGUUAGCCCUUCCUGAAUAGUAACAGCAUCCUGGAGCCUGGGGAAAGAGUCUGUUUUGAAUCCUCCAAAGUAACGCUGCUGCAGACCAUGAGCAAGACAGAGGGAAUGCCAGCCUGCGCGUGUGAUCUCGAAACAUGGAUGUUUUCGGUAAGUCAUCUGAAAGACUUGACAUUUAUUAGCUUUAAAUUUCAUCAGGCAGCAUUUAUUUGGUGCUCUGGGCCAUCUUUCAAGUACAUAGCUAUUUCUCUAUAACCCAAGCCACAAGACCUUGGAGAAAAUGUUUAGGGUCAGAGCCAAGAGAGCGACAGAGUAACCUAGUGUAUUUGUUUCUGAAAUUUGCAGGGCAGUAGGAUCUAAGGAGAAUGCAUUUGUGGUUAGGAAACAAACAAACGAACAACACGUACAAUUAAACACACAGUCAACUAACAAGGUGUAUAUAUAUUUUAAAUGCAUUUCAUGUUAGUGGAAUAGUAAGGGAUUAAUCAGUGGUCGGAGAGGAAACAUUGUAUCUGAUGACAAGUUUGCUACCCUUUUUCAAGCACUGGGAUGGGUAAGGUGAGAAUGCAGUUCCCUGGCCUGUUCAGCAAAUGCUUACUGAGUAACUUUUUUUUUUUACAAAUGGAGUAUAAUGUGGCAAUUUGAUACGUGUAUACAGUGUAUCAUGAUGAAAUGGGGCAGUUGGCAUUUCUAUCUCCUUAAAUAUUAAUCAUUUCUUUGCGUUGAGAAUCUUCUAAUUCUUCAUAAAAUAAAGAAUACACCGUUACAAGACGUAGAUAUCCUACUGUGAUGUAGAACGGCAAGAGCAUAUUCUUCCUAGCUAUUAUUGAUGUUUUCUGUUUGUUUUUGCAAUAUUGGGGUUUGAACCUAGGGUCUUGCACAUGCUAGGCAAAUGUUCUGUCGUUGAACUACACCCCAGCCCUUCUGUUAUUUUGAGACAGUGUCUUACUAAAUUGCCCAGUCUGGCCUUAAACCUGUAAUUCUCCUGCCUCAGCCACCCAUGUAGCUGGGAUUAUAGGCAUGUGGUACCACACCUGGUUUAUUCUAAGGAAUUUCUAAGUAAACAUGAUUCUCCAAGUGACAGUCUUGAUCUAGGGAUUAGAACUCAAACACUCCAAACUAUAAAUGUUUUAAAAAUUACAAAAUAUACACCCAAGUAAUGUGGACUCACAGGAACAUUUUAUCAGCUUCAUCCCUGAUAUUUUCUGGAAAGUGAGCCCUUCAGUGGAACCCGGUUCAUUCUUGCCUAUCUUGGUGACCUUGGAGAACUUAUGCUGGAAUGACUCACCUGAAAAAAUGCAAAUACAUAGCCAGGCGUGGUGGCACACAAUUGUAAUCUUUGGGAGGAUGAGGCAGGAGGAUUGCAAAGUUGAGCCCAGCCUGAGCUACUUAGCAACUUAGUGAGACUGUGUCUUAAAAUAAAAACAAAAUUUAAAAAAAGGGCUGGGGAUAUAGCUCCGUGCAAAAGCCCUGGGUUCAAUACCCAAUACAGAAAGAAAGGAAGGAAGGAAAGAACAAUGCAUAUCUCAGGGAUCUCCAGGUCAUCUUGCACAUUUAAAAUUCAGUGCCCUGUAGUGAAAUUAAUUAAAUAAUGAUGCCCUCUCAUUUCUGCCCGGCGUUGAUGGGGUUAGCUUGGUGCGUCACCCUUUGCAGACGGCCCACUGCACUAGCCCGGGUGCGCAGUGGGCCUGCCUGUGGGUCCCUUCUCCCCACUGCAUCCAUCUUGGGAAAGCAGGACUUUCAGAGUUUGUGGUUAAUAAUUCAUUCCCCUGCAACAUUGAAAAAUUAGGCACUAUCUGUUCCAAAUAUUAUAUUCACAUCAAUAUCCUGGGAUUCUUUUGAAUUAUUGUCCUUCUCUUUCCAAGGAGCACCUAACUCUGCCUUUCCCUGCGGUUGCUGUCACAGCCCCCUACCCCGUGAAGCCCCGUAUUUUGUUUUACAUUGAGCACAAUUUAUUAUUUUUCGUUCUUACCAAACAUCUCCUUUCUGAAGCAGAGCUGUGAGCAACACUUUAAAUGAUGCUCGGAUGUCACUCUUGUUAGCAGCUGGCUGUCUGCCUCAGAGUGGUGCAUUAUUUGGGUUUCAAAACAGCAUUUUUUCUCUCUUAGAAAUGUUAAAUUAUGAAGUGCAGGAAACCACAUGAAUGCGGCAGAGCGAAAAUGCAGACGCGGUGUUAUCUGGAAAUGCCAGCUUCAUGAUUCUGCCAGCAAGUGUGUCCUCCCCACGGCGGACAUAGGAGGCCUCUUCGCCUGUUUGGCGGUGGUCUUCUAACACUUGUCUCCAUCCUCACUUAGGCCGUGCUGUGGUCGCCUUCUCUCGUUGAAUCAGGAGAUUUGUGAAGACAGUUGCUGUCUGCAUCUAAGUCCUGCCUGACCCUCAUUCCCAGGCUUCCCUGAAUCCUCCGGGACUUUACUUACUGCUUCCUCUUUGUGAACAUCUGUAGCAGCUGCUUCAUAGAAAAGCUAUUGCUGUGCAUUGCUGUGU
rnacentral:lncRNA from 1 species